CUUUUGGCUCAGCCGAGUACCCUGGCUUCAGGGACAAUGUUCCUUUUGGAAACUCCAUUCCACGAAAUCCUUCAUUUUGGCUUUUUAG